rnacentral:sRNA from 21 species
GGCACGGAUACUGCAUAUGCUAGGGCGGAGCUUCGGGCAACGUCAUGUCCGGGGGAGUCGACACAGCAGUCGACGUCACGCUUU